CCACUCAUAUGACAUCAGCAACCAAGUGUAUCCAAUCUGGCAUGUCUACCUGCAGAUUAUUUUUCGCCCGCUGUUUUCCCGCCGUUCUGUCUACGCACCAGGCUCUCACUGGAACGAUUUCCUGCCAAUUUUCUCUGGGUGUCCCUGAUUGAAACGCUGCGUUUUGAAAAGCUGCCCAGAUUCAUAGCCAAUUCAAACUCCUGUGCAUACAGGGCGAGCAACAGCCAGCAGCGAACCGCAAAUGGGCCACAGUUCGAAGAAGAAGAAGCGCGGCGGAGGCGGCCGACGGAGCAAGGGCAAAGACCAUCACCUUAACGCCUCCCACUCCGCCGCUGAAAAUGAUCUAUCAGAAGAGAUCACUGCGCUGUGUUCAAUAUUUCAAGAUGAUUGCAAAGUUGUUUCAGACCCAUAUCCUCAAGUCACUAUUAAGCUCAGGCCUUAUUCAAAAGAUACAGGAUACGACAAUCUAGAUGUUUCUGCUCUUCUUUUAGUAAGGUGCUUGCCUGGGUAUCCUUACAAGUGUCCAAAGUUGCAGAUAACUCCAGAGAAAGGUUUAUCAAAAGGUGAUGCAGAUAAUCUUCUCUCUCUGCUUCAGGACCAGGCAAAUGCUAAUGCUCGGGAAGGACGGGUGAUGGUUUUCAAUUUGGUAGAGGCUGCUCAAGAGUUCCUAUCUGAAAUUGUUCCAGUUGGUCAAUCACAUGCUGCUGUUCCAUGCUCAAAUACAGAUAACAGCAGCCAGUUGUUUCUGCAAGAUGUGUCAAUUUGUAACAAGGGUUGCUCUUCUAAAGGACCUAUGGUUUAUGGUUUUAUAGAUCUUUUCAGUGGCACUGGAGACUCGUGGCACUGGGGUUUUGAAAUGGAUGAAACUCGGAUAAGCUCUUCCUCACAUGCCCAUGCUUCUGAUGGUUCAAAACAUGGAUAUGGCAUUGAGGGCAAAAAACUUGAUAAAAAUACAAAACCAUUGACAAUGCAAAAUACCAAUCAAGGACAAUUACCCUCUCCUACUGUCAAAUUAGAUGCUCUGGAAGAAGAGAUCGAAGAUGACAGCGAGAGCAUAUCGUCUUCUGGUUCAAGUAGAUCACUAAGAGAGGAAUUGGCAGGCAAUGUUACUACUGAAAAACAAGAGAAUAAGGAUUUUUCUCCUGAGGAGGAUACUGCAGAAGAAGAUGAUGGUGACAUUGAAAGUGACGCUUCAGAAUCACUGUCUUAUGUUUCUGUGAUUCAUGAUCAAACCUCUCAUACUGUGGAAAAAGAUUUGCUUAUGGUUCAUCUGCUUCGCCUUGCUUGUGCUUCUAAAGGAGGAUUAGCUGAUGCUUUGCCAGAAAUAACCACUGAGCUGUACAAUCUAGGGAUCUUUUCAGAACCGGUGCGGGAUCUAGCAACUAAGCCAUCUUCAUUCUUUAACAAAACCUUUGAUCAUGUUUUUCGGCAGCACGUGGUUUCAUCAAGAAUCUCUCAAUUCUGGAAGCCUCCUUCUGAUUUUGGUGGGCAGAGCACAUCCCUUCCGAGCUCUCGCUAUCUCAAUGACUUUGAGGAGCUACAACCCCUUGGUCAUGGUGGAUUUGGUCAUGUUGUGUUGUGCAAAAAUAAACUAGAUGGAAGACAGUAUGCGGUGAAGAAGAUUCGUCUCAAAGACAAAAGUCCACCUGUUUAUGACCGGAUAUUGAGGGAAGUGGCCACGCUUUCCCGUUUGCAGCAUCAACAUGUUGUCCGUUACUAUCAGGCAUGGUUUGAAACAGGAGUUUCUGGUUCUUUUGGGGACACAACUUGGGGCUCAAUGACACCAGCAAGCUCAAGUUUCAGCUACAAGGGUGCAAGCUCAGCAGAUGUAAAUGUGCAUGAGAAUAAGCUUGAAUCAACAUAUUUGUAUAUACAGAUGGAAUACUGUCCUAGGACUCUCCGCCAGAUGUUUGAAUCAUAUAGCCAUUUUGACAAAGAAUUGGCGUGGCAUUUAUUUCGCCAAAUUGUUGAAGGCUUGGUACAUAUACAUGGACAAGGAAUCAUCCAUCGGGACUUAACACCAAAUAACAUCUUCUUUGAUGCUCGCAAUGAUAUUAAAAUUGGAGACUUUGGUCUUGCCAAGUUUUUGAAGUUGGAGCAGUUGGAUCAGGAUCCAGGUGUCCCUCCAGAUACAACUGGAGUAUCAGUUGAUCGUACUGGUCAAGUUGGUACCUAUUUUUACACUGCACCAGAAAUUGAGCAAGGGUGGCCAAAGAUUGAUGAAAAGGCAGACAUGUACAGCUUAGGAGUUGUGUUCUUUGAACUAUGGCACCCGUUUGGAACAGCAAUGGAGAGAAGCAUCGUUCUUAAUGAUCUGAAACAGAAGGGAGAACUCCCUUCUUCUUGGGUUGCUGAAUUUCCUGAACAAGCAUCCCUUUUGCAGCACUUGAUGUCUCCAAGUCCAUCUGAUCGUCCAUUUGCCACAGAACUUUUACAGCAUGCAUUUCCUCCAAGGAUGGAAUACGAGUUGCUAGACAACAUUCUACGAACAAUGCAGACUUCAGAGGACACAGGUGUUUAUGAUAAAGUUGUUAAUGCUAUUUUUGACAAAGAAAUGUUAAGUGCAAAAAACCUCCAACAUUUUGGAAGAUUGAGGUUAGUUGGAGAUGAUACAUCCUCUAUCCAGUACACAGAUUCAGACACUGAACUCCGUGAUCAUGUUAGUGAGGUCACAAGGGAAGUGUUUAGGCAUCACUGUGCAAAGCGUCUCGAAGUUGUACCAAUUCGUUUGCUGGAUGAUUGCCCACAAACCAUCAGGAAUACUGUUAAGCUACUGACCCAUGGAGGAGACAUGAUUGAGCUUUGUCAUGAGCUGCGUUUGCCUUUUGUUAAUUGGGUUAUUACGAAUCAGAAAUCAUCUUUCAAAAGAUAUGAAGUAUCCUAUGUUUAUAGGAGAGCAAUUGGUCAUUCAGCACCAAACCGUUAUCUUCAGGGAGAUUUUGAUAUGAUUGGAGGUGCAACAGCAUUGACAGAGGCAGAGGUUAUCAAGGUGGCAAUGGACAUUGUAACCCAUUUCUUCCAUUCCAAUUCAUGCGGUAUUCAUCUAAAUCAUGGUGAUUUAUUGGAGGCUAUCUGGUCUUGGAUAGGAAUCAAGGCAGAGCAUAGGCAGAAAGUGGCAGAGCUUCUCUCUAUGAUGAGUUCUUUGCGGCCUCAAUCCCCUGAACGGAAAUUAAAAUGGGUGGUGAUAAGGCGACAGCUUCAGCAGGAACUUAAUCUAGCAGAAGCUGUUGUAAAUAGGUUGCAAACAGUAGGAUUAAGGUUCUGUGGAGCUGCUGAUCAGGCUCUUCCUAGAUUGAGGGGAGCCCUGCCCGCUGAUAAACCUACACGCAAGGCACUUGAUGAAUUGGCAGAUCUUUUUAGCUACUUAAGAGUCUGGAGGAUCGAAAAACAUGUUUUCAUAGAUGCCCUUAUGCCCCCGACAGAGUCUUAUCAUAGGGAUUUAUUUUUUCAGAUAUACUUAAUGAAGGAGAACAAUCCUGGAUCACUCAAAGAAGGAGUAUUGCUCGCAAUUGGCGGUCGCUAUGAUCAACUGCUUCGUGAAAUGUGUUUUGCAUCUAAAUCAAAUCCUCCGGGUGCUGUUGGGGUCAGCCUUGCCCUAGAGACAGUGAUUCAGCAUUCUUCCAUGGAUAUCCGACCUUUUAGAAAUGAAGUUGGUAUUAAUGUUCUUGUUUGUUCAAGAGGAGGAGGUGGGUUAUUGGAAGAACGCAUGGAACUAGUUGCUGGGCUAUGGGAAGAGAACAUCAAGGCUGAGUUUGUUCCUGUAUCUGAUCCAAGCCUUACAGAGCAGUAUGAAUAUGCAAAUGAGCAUGAUAUCAAGUGUCUUGUUAUUAUAACAGACACAGGUGUAUCCCCAACAGAUUUUGUUAAGGUCCGCCAUCUUGAACUUAAGAAGGAGAAAGAAGUUGAAAGAGAAAACCUUGUCAAGUUUCUACAUUCAAUUGCCACACAGUUCAGAAACCUCUCAAUUUGGAAUUAGGCCUUUUUUCUGGCAAAACCCCACUUCCUCAGGGUUGUUCUACUGAUGGCAUGAUAUAUCACUAUUAUCAAAAUGAUGAAAAACCCCUAUUAUAAUUGGAGGCAAUCCAAAGCAGUAGCAGUUGUGGUAGCAGCGUUUUCUUUGCUUCAAGAACAAUCCAAUGAAGUUGCAAUUCCUUAUCUGGAGACCUGUUAGAGCUCAGAAGGAUCAAACAACCAAUAGGAAUAUAGGAUUCAACAAUCAUCUACCAGAAAGGAGAAGGGAAAAUUAGUCAAAUUUUUGCAGUCUCAAUUUUUGAAACUUGUGUACAUAUAUACUUACUCCAUUCAUAGGCAGUGUGAAUACAGCAAUAUGUAGGUUUAUUCAAUAAGUUGUGUGACUGGGUUAGCAACCGUCAUCACCUUUGUACGUGCAACAAAAGACCAACAUAGAAAGACCCGAUGAGUGAGUGAGAAAUAUUUUUGUUAUUUUUCCCCAAAAUCAUACGUGUAUACAACAAUUCUUUUUUACAACAAUGUAUAAUUAACAUCUCCUUUGUUUUGAUCCUA